CAGCCGCCGCGGGAAUACGAAGGGGGCUAGCGUUGCUCGGAUUUACUGGGCGUAAAGGGUGCGUAGGCGGAUCGUUUAGUUGGGGGUGAAAGCCCGGGGCUCAACCUCGGAAUUGCCUUCAAUACUGGCGGUCUUGAGUAUGGAAGAGGUAAGUGGAACUCCGAGUGUAGAGGUGAAAUUCGUAGAUAUUCGGAAGAACACCGGUGGCGAAGGCGACUUACUGGUCCAUUACUGACGCUGAGGUGCGAAAGCGUGGGGAGCAAACAGGAUUAGAUACCCCGGUAGUCCCUGUCUCUUAUAC
rnacentral:rRNA from 1 species